rnacentral:lncRNA from 1 species
GUCGGACCCAUUAAAAAUAUGCCUUUUUCAUUAAGCGAAAAAAAUAGACGAUCUUUUUCAACUGCAUUUUAAGUCAAUUUGAGCCGCAUGACCCUAUAUAUUUUUUUAGUUGUUAUGCAACACUGGCAUUUCUAGUAACAGGAACGGCUACCCGUUUUUCCCUAAUUUGUGUAGUCUUCGAGAAAAAAAAUACGGAACACUAGUGGUACCCUAUGGAAAAUGCAUAACGAAUAAUUGCGCUCUUGUAACCAUAAGA